UACGAAGGGGGCUAGCGUUGCUCGGAAUCACUGGGCGUAAAGGGUGCGUAGGCGGGUCUUUUAAGUCAGGGGUGAAAUCCUGGAGCUCAACUCCAGAACUGCCUUUGAUACUGAGGAUCUUGAGUUCGGGAGAGGUGAGUGGAACUGCGAGUGUAGAGGUGAAAUUCGUAGAUAUUCGCAAGAACACCAGUGGCGAAGGCGGCUCACUGGCCCGAUACUGACGCUGAGGAGCGAAAGCGUGGGGAGCAAACAGG
rnacentral:rRNA from 1 species